rnacentral:tRNA from 1 species
CAUUAAGUGGCUGAAACAAUAAGCACCGGUCUCUUAAACCGUAAUAUAGUAAGUAAUAUCUACUCUUAAUGG